CGUGAUCAAAGGACUGAAACUCAGGGCUUUUGAUUGUUAUAUCUAAAGACGGAGCCGCGCUAUACUUCUGUGGUGAGACAAGAAUAUUGUUAGCCUGAAGAUAAUUAAAUGUUUAUUCUUCUGUCAAUAAAAAUCUGCUUUAAAUAUUGUGUUGAAGUCAUUGGUUAUAUUAUUUCGAUAUCUAUAAUGUCUGAUGUUGAGGUAGGCCUACACACAGUGUGGUUUUAUUAGAAACCCUGAUAGCAAUAGACUUCGGGGCGGAUCCGCCUUCAAGUCGCCUGGUCCGCUGUACUCUCAGAUUCAAUUCGGCCACACGCACAGAAUAUGCCCCGCCUCCGCACAACGCACUGUCAACUCGCGGACUCGCAACUGACGCUGGGCGAAUUCUCUGACCGAACGCGCCUUUUUUAAACCGUCACAGUCACUUAAUCCAUCUCCUCACACAGUGGAAACGCUGGAGCUGGCAGGUCGGUGAGGACGGAACACGGUAAGAAUAGUUAAAAUAUGCUUUAUUUGUACAGUUACGUAGCCAGUAACAUUACUGUUGAUUGCUUUGCUUGAUGUUUUUAAUUCUGAAGUGAUUUUUGCAAGCCAAGUUUCAGCACAUUGUCAUUAGCUUUUUGAGUAAAAGCUUUUUGGACGGAAUGUCUUUAUCUCUCUAGGAGGUGGGGUGAUUCAAUCGGAUUUUAAUCCAACCCUGAGCGCAUGUUUUCUCCCCUUUCCAGUAAAAUAGCAGGCGAGAUAAACUGAUGUUAGGCCUAACGUUAACGUUACCUGUUUUUUUUACACUGAACUUCUGGUAUAGUUUGAGUCUUUUGUUAAUAUUUUGACAUAUAUUCUCCACCUCCCCAUGUAAUGUUGUUUCAGAUAAUUUUCAUAUCAUAUUAAAUCUUAAAAUACUGUGCGUGUGUGUGUGUGUGUGUGUGUGUGUGUGUGCGCGCGUGUGUGUUCUGUUGUGUGUGUGUUAUUUUGCAGCUUACAGCUCAUUCAAGUGCCACUGGUCUUGCAGUAUUUCAUCUUUUCCAAACAACCGAGUAAACUUACAGCUCAUUCAAGUGCCACUGGUCUUGCAGUAUUUCAUCUUUUCCAAACAACCGAGUAAACUUACAGCUCAUUCAAGUGCCACUGGUCUUGCAGUAUUUCAUCUUUUCCAAACAACCGAGUAAAUUUACAGCUCAUUCAAGUGCCACUGGUCUGUUUUUGGAGAAUUUCAUCUUUAAGGUGCUGUGAGAAAGAGCCAUGUCUCCCGUGCCGCCACUGAUGAUGACAUUACAAAACACGUAAUACGGUGGUUCAACUUGGCAGCAGAUAGGGGAAACUCAAGGAGCCGUCCCACUGUCAGCACCCAACAGUAGCGUUUCGGUGUUUCACAGUUAACUUCUGUGUUUUGAAGUGUUCGUUUAACAGUUAAGUAGUAACAGUUGAGAUAAAGUUUACUACUUUAAAUAGUUUUGUUUCUAUUCAUCUUCAAAAAACCCAGUUUCCACACAAAAAAAUAAGCAGUGCAACAUUAAUAAGAAUAAAUGUUUCUUGAGCUACAUUAAA